rnacentral:rRNA from 1 species
CCUACGGGCGGCAGCAGUCGAGAAUCAUUCACAAUGGGGGAAACCCUGAUGGUGCGACGCCGCGUGGGUGAAUGAAGGUCUUCGGAUUUUAAGCCCCUGUCAUGUGGGAGCAAAUUAAAAAGAUAGUACCACAAGAGGAAGAGACGGCUAACUCUGUGCGAGCAGCCGCGGUAAUACAGAGGUCUCAAGCGUUGUUCGGAAUCACGGGGCGUAAAGCGUGCGUAGGCUGUUUCGUAAGUCGUGUGUGAAAGGCGCGGGCUCAACCCGCGGACGGCACAUGAUACUGGGAGACUAGAGUAAUGGAGGGGGAACCGGAAUUCUCGGUGUAGCAGUGAAAUGCGUAGAUAUCGAGAGGAACACUCGUGGCGAAGGCGGGUUCCUGGACAUUAACUGACGCUGAGGUACGAAGGCCAGGGGAGCGAAAGGGAUUAGAUACCCCAGUAGUC